rnacentral:rRNA from 1 species
CGGGGGGCGAGUAGAGUGGCGCACGGGUGAGUAACACGUAGGUAAUUUGCCUUCGGGUGGGGAAUAACUCAGGGAAACUUGAGCUAAUACCGCAUAAUGCAGCGGCUCGACAUCGAGACAGUUGUUAAAGCGGGGGAUCGCAAGACCUCGCGCCUGAAGAGAAGCCUGCGGCAGAUUAGCUAGUUGGUAGGGUAAUGGCCUACCAAGGCGACGAUCUGUAACCGGCCUGAGAGGGCGGUCGGUCACACUGACACUGACAUACGGGUCAGACUCCUACGGGAGGCAGCAGUCGGGAAUUUUGGGCAAUGGGCGAAAGCCUGACCCAGCAACGCCGCGUGAAGGAUGAAAUCCCUCGGGAUGUAAACUUCGCAAGAAUGGGAAGAAUAAGUGGGGGACAAUACCCCCCAUGAUGACGGUACCAUUUGUAAGCUCCGGCUAACUCCGUGCCAGCAGCCGCGGUAAUACGGGGGGAGCAAGCGUUGUUCGGAUUUACUGGGCGUAAAGGGCGCGUAGGCGGUCGUGACAAGUCACUUGUGAAAUCUCCGGGCUUAACUCGGAACGGUCAAGUGAUACUGUCGGACUAGAGUACAGAAGGGGCAACUGGAAUUCUCGGUGUAGCGGUGAAAUGCGUAGAUAUCGAGAGGAACACCUGCGGCGAAAGCGGGUUGCUGGGCUGAUACUGACGCUGAGGCGCGAAAGCCAGGGGAGCGAACGGGAUUAGAUACCCCGGUAGUCCUGGCCUUAACGAUGAAUGCUUGGUGUCUCGGGUUAUAAAGUCCCGGGGGUGCGUCGCUAACGCUU